GAUGAACGCUGGCGGCGUGCCUAAUACAUGCAAGUCGAACGAACAGACGAGUAGCUUUCUCCUCUGACGUUAGCGGCGGCCAGGGGAGUAACAACUCGAUAACCUCCCUCUCCGACUUUGUUAACUUCGGCAUACCGGUGCUACUACCGGAUAAUAUAUUGAACCUCUUGGUUCAAUAGUCAAAGACGGUUUUUCUUUCACUUAUUGAUGGAUCCGCGCCGUAUUAGCUAGUUGGUAAGGUAAUGGCGUACCAAGGCAACGAUGAGUAGCCGACCUGAGAGGGUGAUGGGCCAUAAUGGAACGGAGAAGAGGUCCAGAAGACUACGGGAGGCAGCAGUAGGGAAUAAUACGCAAUGGGCGAAGGACUGACGGAGCAACGCCGCGGGAUUGAGGAAGGUGGUCGUAGCGUAAAAAUCUGUUAUUAGGGAAGAACAAAUGUGGAAGUAACUAUGCACGUCUUGACGGUACCUGAUCAGAAAGCCACGGCUAACUACGUG
rnacentral:rRNA from 1 species